rnacentral:rRNA from 1 species
UACGUAGGGGGCAAUCGUUGUUCGGAUUUACUGGGCGUAAAGGGCGCGUAGGCGGCGCGUAAAGUCGGACAUGAAAUCAUUGGGCUUAACCCAAUGGCUGUGCCCGAUACUUGCGUGCUUAGAGUGCGGGAGAGGCAAUCGGAAUUCUCGGUGUAGCGGUGAAAUGCGUAGAUAUCGAGAGGAACUCCAGUGACGAAGGUGGGUUGCUGGACCGACACUGACGCUGAGGCGCGAAAGCUAGGGGAGAAAACGGG